UGAUCUCAUUGUGUCAGCAUCAUAGAGUUAUUUACAACACACAGAUGUCUAUGAUGUCACUAGGUGAGGGAAUCUUGUAGGUGGUCCAAAAUGCCAUUAUGAGGCAUAUGAAGAAGAGAGAAAAAAUUUUUCCUGAAACAGCAGACUGCAAGAGGUCCUGGUUGGCGACUUCACAUCCUCUGGGUUUCAAAGCCACAUGUGCCUAGAAGGGAUGCAUGUCCUCAUGCCCAGUGAUUCCUUACCUGGCCACACACGGAGAGGAGGUAGGAAGGGCAUUGUGGGGUUUGUGGAGAAGAGAGAAGACCCACAGUAACCUUGGUGUCCUUGAUGCCCCUCAUCUACACAUAGCUUCUCCCCGGCAUGCCAUGUCCUACACUUUAAGUCAGACUGGAUAAAAGAUGUUAAUGUUUGAUGUUAUCAUUAAAAAAAAAAAAAAAAAUCCUUCCCUCUUAACACUAGAGGUCACUCUGCGACCACAAAUGUGGAAGAAGCAUCCUGGGCUCCUGAAGGUCAACGAAGCUAAUCUGUAUAAAUUGCUGAACCAUGAGCCAAAUUUGUACCUAAUUAUGGGUUGCUUUGAUGCAGCCUGGUCCUAUUAAAAGUUUUCCUCUUUCCCACAGAACUCUGGAUGUUGCUACUUGCAGAUUUCAAACCAGCCGUAAUAGUUCUCAGCCAAGCAGUGGUAUUUAGGGCACUGUGACCAAGAACCCAUAUCUUCUGUGAUGCAGAGUUUUGAUGUUCAUUAUCCAGCUGGAGGAGAGCAUCUGCCACUUGCAUAUCAAAAUGCGAUAACCUAGUUUAUGUUUUUUUAUGAGAU